rnacentral:lncRNA from 1 species
AGAUAAGCAGCAGAAUUUAUCAGGCGUGAAAGGGACAGCCUCCUGGUGGCCUGCCAAAAACCCAGAAUAAAGGCGAAGUUGUGCUUCAAAGCUCAGUCGCUUGCUGAGUCUGGCUAAAGUCAAGUAUUAAGAUCCACCAUUUUCUGAGCCAUGCUAGAAAAGAAGAAAAAAGUCAGGACGGUUGCUGCUUUCCAAGUCUCCGUUGGCACCAUCACAAAAUCUCAGUCGUAAGGUCACAUGAUUCUCUGCCAAAUGUAGAGUGCAUUCCCAUCAACCAUUCUGCUGAUACUGCGAAGGCAGCUAUUGUCUCGUUUAGACCCAAAGUUCAGCCCACUCUUCAUUGAAUUAGCUGAAAAACGCAUCACCUUUGGGGGCUGGGAGUCAUGGAAACGUCUACCUGGCAAGCUGCCCACUUUUUCUGCCCAUCAACCAGAGAUGGAAUUGUGCUGCCUAAUGCAAUGAUGACUUGGAAUGUGAAGAGUCGUCCAAAGUGAAUCUGAUUCUUGCAACGCCUGUUUCAGUUUGCACAGAAAACUCUGGCUUCUUGUAGUUAAGGGUGUGUGUGUGCUGGGGGGGAAUCCUUCAGACUAAAUGUAGCAAAUAAAGGUCUGAACAUGCCUACUCCGUAACUUUAUUUCACAACACAAAUGGUUCUCAAAGGAAAAGACUGAAGUCUCUGCAAGUUUUCCCUUCCCCUGCCCCCUUUUCCUUUCUGAGUGAAUGCAACAAGCCCAGGACGUUUGUUUUAGUCCCUUGCAUUAAGAUUGAAAAGCUCUUGAGUUUUGUCUUGCUUUUUAUUACUUUCUGAUUUUUAUCUGGCACCAGUUUUGUACUACACGGCCACAAUAUCCUCCAGCAGCAGUGGGGAUGCAUUAUUGCUUCAAUUUCCGUCAAAGUGGUCCCCUGAGGGAUGCCAGUUGUCUCUUCAACCGCGCACACCCCUGCAACUGGGUCCUGGGGUAAUCCUCAGCAGUACCUAGCACAGCUGCUGUGCAAGUUUGCUAAGAUUUGACUCAUGGAAGAAGUGCUCUUUCUGUUCCUUCACCAGCUACAGUUUUCCUGUGUGGCGUGAAAGAUCCCGUUGAAAGAUACAAGGAAUGUAUCAACAGCUUCUAGGCAAUCAAAUGAAAGGGUUCCCUCACCUCAAUGGAUUUCCAUUCUCACAGGCGACAGAAGUUCCCGUGGACAAACAUUUCCAUACUUUCUAACAAAAGUACAGUGAAUGAAAUCUUUCACCAUUUCCUUAAGCAAAAUCUAUAGCUCAGUGGGAAAGCAAGUGCUAUUAGUAUUUAAGCGAAACAUACUCAGUAGUACCAAAAAGAAUUAUGGUUGCCUUUCCUGCAUUAAAAAAUGCUUCAGUUUUUCUAAGAUGGGGGAAUCUUUAUAAUUAUCUUUGCACAAUUUUAAAAUUAUAUUCAGUGCCUUACAAAACUAUGGAUGAAUGUUAUCCCUCCUCCAUGUACAGACACUCACAUAUAGACAUAUAUAUUGCACAAUACCAGACAAAGACUGGAAAAGGUAAUCAAACCAUUACUUGCCUAUAAAAAAAUAAACAAAACCAAAAGAAUUCAAGGAUCUAGCAAAUAUCUUGGAAACGGUCUCUGGUCUUUUUUGAGUUAUGGUCUUUGAGUCACUUUCUUGAGGAAGGAUAGGAGUGAGUAUGCAUACACGCACAUGCAUGGAAACCAUUCUGAUGUUUUCCCCAUAUGUAAUUCAGAAUACAAACAAUUCUAAACCAUAAAAUAAAAACUUACACAUGUGCUGAAAUUAAAAAUUUGCUUUUUUUUUCUAGAUUGCAAAAUUGUGGAUAAAUUUUAGUACUGUCCUAAGCACAUGCCUUGGAGUGCCUGGUGGGGGAACAAGCCCAGCCAACACAUGUGCCCCAUGCUUUAGCACAGCCAGAAGAAAGUAGAUAAGUCCUCACAGAAAGAAAAUGUUGUGUUCUCGUUCACUUAUUCAGCAAUUAUUUAAGUAGGUGUAUGUGGCCAGGCUGUGUGAUAGACACAGGGGAACAGCAAUGAGUCAAAUGGACAUGCCCCCAGGUGGGAGUCAUUCAGGAAGAACUUUCAAGUAAGAAAAGCUCACUUCUUCACAGAAGUGUUGUGGGUCCUGAAGGAGCAUUUAUUGCUCAUCAAGAAACACAAUGAUAAGAAUAGGAAAUUGGAAGAAAAAUAGAGAUGAUUUCUGUCAUCUUGCGUUUUUUUUUUUUUUUUUUUUUUUUUUUUUUGCUGUUUAGGGCUGCACUGGCAGCAUAUGGAAGUUAUCAGGCUAGGGGUCAAAUGAGAGCUACAGCUGCUGGCCUAUGUCACAGCCACAGCAAUGCAGGAUCCGAGCUGCAUCUGUGACCUACACCACAGUUCACUGUGUGAGACCAGGGAUUGAACCCGCAUCCUCAUGGAUAUUAGUUGGAUUUGUUUUCACUGUGCCACAACAGGAAUUCCUGUCUUGCUAUUUUAAAGUUUCUCUUUUUAAUACAAAAUAUAUUAAUCAGUUUGUCAUAAUUAUGUUUGAUCCCUAAAAGUACCUCAUGUGAAAAGUGUUAUGUUGCUCUCCCAAUUAAAAAGCAAAAACAAAAGCAGAAGACAGAGGAGAUGUUCACUUCCAGAGAGAUAGAGUAGGUGUAGUUUUACCCAAAUCCUCCUAAGUACAACUCAAAUCCCUGAACAUUGCAUAUAAUAAAACAAACAUAGGGAGACUCUGAAAGAUGGAGAGAAGAUAAUCCAGUUAGGGACCUCGGGACCCAAGGAACAAUAUGGUGGUAGGGUCCCUGGAUUUUAAGUUUGCUUCACAAAUUCAAAACUUGAAGCAGAAGAAGCCUGCCCCCCAGAGACAGAAACCAGUGCAGACCAAAAAAAUCUCCAAAAAGCCCCAAUCAGGAAUGCAGCAGGCUAGAAAGACAGAAAGCACUAGGACAAUACCACUUUUUUCCAGUCAAACACCCACCCCAUACCUGCAAAGUCAGAGCAGGGUACCUAGCACCAUGCUUGUUAGGCUAGAGCAAAAUAUCCCAACCUCCUCUACCCAACCUCAGGGCAGUAUAGGAAAGUCAGAGAGGAGGAUUGGACCUUUCAGCCUUGUCAGGGGAUAACAGGGUCCCUUCCCCUGCCAACAUGCAGCAUCAGUGGAGACUUUAUGGAGUUCUGGACAUCCACCCCAACUCAAAAGUAAUGAGGUAUUCUUCUUCUUCCUGCUAAGAUGUCAGACAAGAGAGGGCUAGCAGAGACUCAGGACAUUAGAAAAUGUCCAGUAGUCACGACACAACGCCGCUAUUCCCCCAACCUUUAGGCCGGAAAAUGUCAUUAAGGGAGUAGUAACAAAUCACUCCAGUCCUUCCUCUCUAGGAAGGCAUUGGUGAAGGCCUGCAGGGAAACAGGGACUCUGAUCCCCUCCCUGCAGUAACAACCUGGACUUCCACCUACACCUGGCAGUGACAAGACUGUGCUGCCCUUUCCCUGCUGGAUUAGUGUCAGAGGAAGCUACUUAAAACAGAAAGUUUAAAUGAGAUCUAGUGUCUCAGAGCAUGAUACCCAAAUGUCAAGGUUUCAGUUGAGAAUGGUUUGCUAUACAGCAAAGCAGGAAGAUCUCAAACUGAAUGUAAAAAGACAGAGUGCAUGUGAGCACUAAGAAGAGAGAGAUGUCGAAACUGCCUCACAAAGUUUUUAAAGCAGCCAUCAUGAAAAUGCUUCAAUGAGGAAUUAGGAAUACGGUUGAAAUCAACUUUUAAAAAAUUAAAAGUCUUAGCAAGUAAAUAGAAUAUAAAGAAUAACCAGAUGGAAAUUUUAGAACUGGAAAAUGUAUUUAGCUGAAGUUUAAAAAAAAAAAA